rnacentral:misc_RNA from 1 species
UAGUCGUAACAAGGUUUCCGUAGGUGAACCUGCGGAAGGAUCAUUACCGAGUUAGGGUCCCCUCGUGGGGCCCGACCUCCCAACCCCGUGUCUAAUAAACUUGUACGUGUUGCUUCGGCGGACCGGCAGCCGCAAGACCGCCGCCGGGGAGGGUUCGCCCCCCGUGGAGCGCCGUCCGUCAUGGCCAAUGCCCAAAACCAAAACAAUAUCAAAACCAAAACUAUUGAAACCCCCUUCUGAAUCAAACCUUUUGAUAUACCAAUCAAAAACAAAA